ensembl:lincRNA
AGCAGAGAAAGAACCCAGAGGUGGGAGGGGCACAGUCAGAGACUGAGAUCCAGCCCCAGGAGCACGAGAGGGAAGACGGCGUGGGUCUGCGUGGGACCCAGAGCCCUCGGGUGGACGCCCUGGGGCUUCGGGAGGCAGAAAUGGAUGCUGGCAUUGAGGGGGACAGACAAAUGAUACCUGUGCUCUGGGUUCUCUCAGACAGCGAAGGGAGAAAAACCAAGACGAGCUUAGAAGAUAAGAUCAAAUGUUUCCCAAGAAGCAAGAAAGAGGUGAAUAUCAGAAAAAAAAAAUUCCAAUCUACAUUCCAUUUGUCAAAAAUUCUUUGCCUUCAAAAAUGGAAAUAAAAUAAAAUAAAAAUGAGUUGAUAAUCCCUGUCAAGGGCUUUAGCGCAGGACUUGGCAAUGGUAAGUGCUCAGUAAUUGUGUGUGGUUGUUAUGAUUCUUAUUAUAUUCCCCUAAGUAGAAUGUGAGCUACACAAAGGUAAGGUAAGGUCGGUUUGAGGGUGGGAUGGGGCUUGGUCAGUCAGGGCUUGGUGAGACCAGAUGCCAGGCUUGGAUAACUGGGGUAUAACUGGGGUAAAGGCCAGGAGAUCUGUCAGGAUCAGAGUUUGGGAGCCUAAGACCUGCCGGGAGCUGGGAGGCCUGGACUCUUACCUGCUGUGUGACCUCAGGUAAGCCUUGAUUUCCAGACAGAAUGUAAUUUGAGCAGGUUGGACCAGAUGAACAGCAAGCUCCCUGGCAGUCCAGGUGUUUUAUGAGUUCUGAGCUUCUAAGGGUUAAGUUCAAUGAAAAGAUCAAAGAAGGCUAUAUCUAGGAUGCAGGACUCACAUCCACAGGGCCUGGAGCAGGGAGUGCCUGGGAUGCUAGACUGAGCUAAGCAGUGGCACCUCCCUCCAAGAGCCGGCAAUCAGCAGCACUCCUCCCUUGCUGGGACUGGGGAAUAGGGGUAAAUUUGCCUGGAGGCCAUAGGCGUUUCCAGGACAUAAGUGCCAUACAGCUUGUGUCUAUGAAUAAUGCAGAUCCUCAGAGAUGGGAGAAGUUGAGAGUCUUCAAGGGAAUAGACCCAAGAGGAGCGAGAGCCCUGCCCCCCAUGUUGGUGUGGGACUCAUGAUUUAUUUGAAACCUGCCCUGUUUCAAAAAAUGAUUUGAGGGAAGUGGACUUGGCCCAGCGGUUAGGGCGUCUGCCUACCACAUGGGAGGUCCGCGGUUCAAACCCCGGGCCUCCUUGACCCGUGUGGAGCUGGCCCUUGCGCAGUGCUGAUGUGCGCAAGGAGUGCCCUGCCAUGCAGGGGUGUCCCCCAUAUAGGGGAGCCCCACAUGCAAGGAGUGUGCCCCAUAGGGAGGGCCACCCAGCACGAAAGAAAGUGCAGCCUGCCAAGGAAUGGUGCUGCACACACGGAGAGCUGACACAACAAGAUGAUGCAACAAAGGGAGACACAGAUUCCCGGUGCCGCUGAUAAGGAUAGAAGCGGUCACAGAAGAACACGCAGCAAAUGAACACAGAGAGCAGACAAAUGCGGGGGGUGGGGGAGAAAUAAAUUUUAAAAAAUAAAUCUUUAAAAAAAAUGAUUUGAGGGGGGUGGGGGGU